CACACAAGCAGGUGUCUGUGAGGGCAAUAGUUGAUGCGAUUAUGAUUGGGAAUUCGCUAUAAAUGGCGCGAUAAGCGAGAAUUACAUUUUAUGUAAGGUGAAAAUGAGUGCGCAAGCAACGGUACAGUAGUUGGGAAGAUUUAAUAAUAGAAAAUACCCCACCAUUGCAGCUUUGAAAGCUGUAAGCUGGCAUGCAAAAUUUCAAAAGAUUUUAAUUGCCGCAGGUAAUUGCAUUCAAAGUAUUCUAGGCAGUUAAUGGGUGGGUUUAUUUGCCGCUUGUCUGUGAAAUGCACGUGCUGCAGACACAGGUGUGCGGCCAGAAGCCGCAAGUAUGACUCAGAUAUUAUGUUUACUGUUAUAAAAAGCUAAUGUUAUUAUUUUCAUUAAGCAUUUCCUAAUCAACACUGCUGGAUAUCGCACCCACUAGUCGACACACGCACAAAAAUGACAAAAUUUAUUAAUCUGUCCUUAGUACUGUUCAGCAUCUGCCUCUGCCUACUGUUGCAGUUAGCCGAGUCGCGUCCUCUAGAAAUCACUAUUGAAACACAUGCGAGCGCCUCCGCGACCGCGUCGGUGUACUACAGUGAUGGUGUGCGUACUUUUAGCAACGUUGCCACAUCGAGCGUUGUACAGAACAACAUUUUUCACAUUCUGCUGUCGAGAUGAUGAAAUGUGGCCGGAAAUCAUAUGGAAUUAUGGCAUUUAGUGACUUAAUUACUUCAACUGAGACUUGUGAACUAAUAGUUUUACAUAAUUCUAAAUAUAUUAUAUAUAUAAAUAAAUUUUCCUUUAUAAACUAGUAUUAUAAAAAUA